AGUGAACGCUGGCGGCAGGCCUAACACAUGCAAGUCGAGCGGAUGAAGGGAGCUUGCUCCUGGAUUCAGCUGCGGACGGGUGGGUAAUGCCUAGGAAUCUCCCUGUUAGUUGGUGAUAACGUCCGGACACGGGCGCUCAUACGGCAUACCUCCUGACGGAGUAAGUGUGGGAUCUGCGGACCUUACGCUAUCAGGUGAUCCUAGGUCGGAUUAGCUAGUUGGUGGGGUAAAGGCCUACCAAGGCGACGAUCCGUAACUGGUCUGAGAGGAUGAUCAGUCACACUGGAACUGAGACACGGUCCAGACUCCUACGGGAGGCAGCAGUGGGGAAUAUUGGACAAUGGGCGAAAGCCUGAUCCAGCCAUGCCGCGUGUGUGAAGAAGGUCUUCGGAUUGUAAAGCACUUUAAGUUGGGAGGAAGAGCAGUAAGUUAAUACCUUGCUGUUUUGACGUUACCAAAAGAAUAAGCACCGGCUAACUUCGUG
rnacentral:rRNA from 1 species